UCAAUUUAUGUCCACGGACGUAAAUCGGACAUACGGACAUAAAUUGGACGUGAAACGUACAUUCAUUGGUCAUACAUACAUCAACACAUACAUCAACUCCGUUUAAAGCAAGUUGUGGAACUGGGCCUAAGGAGCCUUAUUGGCUUCCUUAUCUCAAGGGAGGUCACGAGCUUCCUUGAAGAGGAGAUGCCGCCUUUGGUCUGUUCGUUUUUGCUGCCCUUCUGAACUAACGCAAAAGUUAGAGUGAAAUAAAUAUAUUUUCUCUUACUCUAAUGUGUUAGUUCAGAAGUGCAGCGAAAAUGAACAGACCACUUUUAGCACAUGAUGCGCAGAGUACACAGAGUACAACCACAUAUAACCUAUAAAAAUUUGUCACAUUUUAAUUUUGUGGUUACUUGUGGUGUCGCGUUUUCAGACAAAGUGUAUAAGGAAAAAAAGAAUCUUGGACAAUGUAUUUUUAAAUGAUUCUGACGUGGGAUUUGAGGACGAAAAUUCAGAGGAUCCGAUUCUGUGUCGAUCUGUGAAAAGGUACAUUCGUGAUUAGGAAAACCCCUUAGAAUUUUUCGAAGAUGUUCCUUUUCGGAAAAGGUUCAGCAAAGAAGCUGUGAUUGCGAUCUUAUUACCUCUCGUAAAUGCUCGUAAAUGGUUGAGGCGAUUGAACAACUGUGGUUUCUCCAUUAAUGCUUAAUGGCACUGCGCAACAAGCAGCUUUCAGAUUGUUAAUGGAGACUUGCGAGGAUACAGUCAAGCAUCAAUAUCGAGAAUUGUUGCAUGAGUUUCCAGAAUUUUAGCAUCAUAUUUGAAUGCAUAUAUUAAUUUUUCUACCGAACAAAAACGUCGAGAUAAUAAAAAUAAAGCCAACUGUUCAUCCACAAUAAGAUGUAUCGAUUGCAGCCAUAUACCAUACGCAUAGCGAAUCUUGGAGGAAGUAAUAGAGAGGUAUUCCGGAAUCGGAAAGGAUGGUUCUCUCUAAAUGUUGGCCCUCAACGAGAAAUUCUUGACAUAGUUAUCAGGCAUCCAGAUUCAACUCAUGAUGCCGUAAUAUUUGAUUGAAGCGGUCUAAGCUGUCGUUUCGAGCUAGGACACCUAAUGGCGCGAUUCUUUAACUCGUUAUUGGAGUUAACAACACUUUCGUUACUGCUGCGCAGCUUUUGUAUAUCGUAGAAAAGCUGCGCAAUGAUAACGAAACUGUCGUUAACUCCAAUAACGAGUUAAAGAAUCGCACCACUGGACGGCAUUUUAUUUGGUGUUAGUGAAUAUGCGUGCCGCAGUUAUCUACUGACGCCUGUUUUAAGACAGACGCAGAAAUUCGAUA